ensembl:lncRNA
CUAUAGAUUAAUGUCAUACAAAGGAGACUGACAUGGAAGUUUUAUGAAAAUCAGAGCAAAGGGGGAUUGCUUUUAUUUGGAUACACACAAUCAACAUGUUAUGUAAUUCAAAAUAUGAGUUACCAACGAAAAGGGUUAGAUCAGCUAUGGAGACCUACAGAAAGGCAGUUUGCCAACCCUGUGAAUGAAGAGAAGAGGCUGCACAAAACCAGGCAGAAAGAAACAUGUAAGACUCAGUGAUUCUAGCACACGGCUGGCAGGUAUUGAUAGAAUAUAUUGUAACGCUGUGAUUGAACUGGGGACAUAAGUGAUUACUAAAAUCACAGUAGUUAUUAGAAUGAUUAGAAACGCUUUUCUCUUUAUGUGAUUUUCUUCAUCUCUCUGUCUUCCUCUCUCUCCAGGUCCGGGCUUCUUCAGAGCUCUGAGAACAGCCAAACAGCAGAACAGGUUUAUGGCGAGGAAAACUGUGAAGUGUACCAGGUCCGGGCUUCUUCAGAGCUCUGAGAACAGCCAAACAGCAGAACAGGUUUAUGGCGAGGAAGAUUAUGAAGUGUAUCAGGGAUCUGAGAACAACCAUGAGACAAAACAACUGGACGGAGAGGAAGAGAAGGAACUGCAGUGAAAGGAACCAUGUAUAUACCUUCACAUUCAACAAUCUUAGUAUACUCAUGAUGCCCAAACAGGAUCCAAGAGUGAUUAUCCAGACCACAGUGCAGCAGAUCACUCUAUAUCUGAGAGAAUAGUGAGGAAUCCUGUGAAAAUAAAA